AGCAAAUUACCCUCGCCUUUUUCCCUAAAAUUUCAAAAGUAAUUCUAAAACAUUUCAAAGAAAACCCCUAAACCUCCCACUUGAAACCCUUAUCCUAAACACAUUACGGUGGAAGAAAAAACUCAAUUCAACAAGUUCAAAGAAACCCCCAAUUUGCAAUUUCCCGAAAAUUAUUGAAAAUUCAACUAGUAAACCUCAAUUUACAUGCCAAGACUAAAAAAUUAGUUAUUGAAGGGGCCGAUCAAACAAGAAACGAUUUUGAGAGUUGGGAACAAAAUCUCUCGAAAAUUUUACAUGUCAACAACUGCAGAUGGAUUCUUUGCUCAAUUAUUUCUUUUGUUGCUUGCUAUAGUUGUAUAAUUUGAGUAGCUGCAUUUGUCUAAUGGGUAUUAAUUUAUGCUCUGUGCUUUAAAAGCCGUCAAGAUAUGCUUUUGAAAGAAUUAGAGUAUGUGAUUUUUUAUACUUCCUCCGUUUCUUAUUAGAUGUUAUACUUUUCAAAUCACGGACUCCUAGGUAAUUUUUGGUGAGGAGAGAGAUAGAGAAAAUGAAAAACAAAAGGGUCCUAUGUGAAUAUGUGAUAGGAGAGAGAUAGAGAGAAGUUAUUACCCAAAAUAAAAGUGUAACAUCUAAUUUAAAACUUCCUAAAAUAGAAAGUGGAACAUCUAAAAAAACGGAGGAAGUAUCUCAAUAUGCUUGUAUGGAGGGGAAGUAUUGACAAGGACGACUAUAUGUAGAAUCCCUUAUCUGUAAGAUUUAUAUUUUGUCUUGGGAGGAAUUGUUUUGGAUUUUGGCAACUGAUUUGGAUUAGUAUCCAAUACAUGUUUACCUGAAUAUUUAUGAUGAGUUUUGGGUCAAGGUUUUGAGACUUCAUGAGGCUAAUGCUUUAUGUUUCUUACUUUAUAAAUAUGAACUAAAAAACUAGAUACUACGUACUCUUAUCAUCUUUAAUAUGGUUCUCACUUUGAUUGAGUUGUUAUCUCACACUAAGGGGGCGUUUGGUAGACGAGCCGUGAUCAGCGCAUACCCGUUAUAUGUGGGUUGUUGUAAAUACCGGGGUAUUUUCGUCAUUUCACCCAGGAAUCAGUUUUUGGGGGUUAUUUGUAAAACAAGGUCAGUGAGAAAAAGAGAAGGGAGAAGUGAGAGAACGUGAAAUUUCGGGCGAGAAAUUAUACAUUUACACCAAAGAAGCACUGGAAUUCUCCUUUGCAUGUGUUAAUUUAACCGUGGAAUUGGUUAUCCUCAUAUAAUUCAGCUGAAAGUAAAGUGAAGCGGUGGUGUUUUGGUUGAAGAACUAGGGUUUUGUUGCGAAAUCAAAUUGGUGUUGAUUGAAAUAGUGCACGUUAUAUGGCAAUAGUUGAAGAAGAGGCCAGUAGUGGAAGCUAUGUGGAGGAGGAGGCGACUAGUGGAAGCUAUGUGGAGGAAGAGGCGAGUAGUGGAAGCUAUUUGGAGGAAGAAGCUGAGUGUUUAGAGGCAAUUUGAGGAAGCGAGGAAGGAAGGGUAAGAGGAAAAGGAAGGUUGUAGAAAGCAAGGGGAUGAAGAAUAGGAAGAGUGAUGCAGGUGAGAGCAGCAAGAGGAGCACCAAAUUUGUUUUGACUG